UUUCUUUUAAUGUUCUACUGCUCAUCUUCUCCACAAAUCAGAUCUUCUCCACAAAUCUUUUCCUUUAUUCUACUGUUCAUCUCCUCCACAAAUCCCAACAAAAAGCUCGUUUAUUCUACUGUAAACCACCGACAAUGACACCGGAAAUAAAAAACACGAAAUAGGAGGAGAUCUGGGCGGUGGAGGAGGUGGGGGCGGCGACGGUGGAAAUCUAGGCGGUGGAGGAGGAGGCGACGGUGGAAAUCUGGGCGGCGGAGGCGGCGGACAUGGAUCCGGAGGAUCUGGCGACGACAAAUAGGAGGAGAUACCGGCGACGGUGGAAGGCUUGGAGGGAGGAUGAGGAGGAGGGCUUGGGAGGAAGAGGGGGAAGGAGUUUGUGAGGCGUGGUCAUCUGAUGUUGGGAAGGCGAGUGGUGGAGGAGAUACGACACUGAUAGUGGGAAGGUCCCUGGGAUUAUUUGUAUUAUUUAGAAGGAGUUUUAAAAAUAAAAAUAAUUAUUAAAAAAAAGGAAAAAAUAAAAUGAAAGAUUUU
rnacentral:lncRNA from 1 species